GGAAAUAAAAGUCGUAACAAGGUUUCCGUAGGUGAACCUGCGGAAGGAUCAUUAUUGGAUUUUGAAACUUCAGGCUGCUGCUGGCUCUCCUCGGAGGGCAUGUGCACGCUUGUUGUCCAUUAUUUCUCCCACUGUGCACAAAUUGUAGACCUUUCAGUAGGCCUAUGUUGUUUUUCACAAUCUCUGAAUGUAAUAGAAUGGUUUUGAAUCUUGGGAAAUACAAUACAACUUUCAGCAACGGAUCUCUUGGCUCUC
rnacentral:misc_RNA from 1 species